rnacentral:piRNA from 1 species
UUGGAUGAUGAUGAGGCCUGCGCAUA